rnacentral:rRNA from 1 species
GAGUUUGAUCCUGGCUCAGGAUGAACGCUGGCGGCGUGCUUAACACAUGCAAGUCGAACGAUGAAGCCCAGCUUGCUGGGUGGAUUAGUGGCGAACGGGUGAGUAACACGUGAGUAACCUGCCCUUAACUCUGGGAUAAGCCUGGGAAACUGGGUCUAAUACCGGAUAGGAGCGCCUACCGCAUGGUGGGUGUUGGAAAGAUUUAUCGGUUUUGGAUGGACUCGCGGCCUAUCAGCUUGUUGGUGAGGUAAUGGCUCACCAAGGCGACGACGGGUAGCCGGCCUGAGAGGGUGACCGGCCACACUGGGACUGAGACACGGCCCAGACUCCUACGGGAGGCAGCAGUGGGGAAUAUUGCACAAUGGGCGCAAGCCUGAUGCAGCGACGCCGCGUGAGGGAUGACGGCCUUCGGGUUGUAAACCUCUUUCAGUAGGGAAGAAGCGAAA